UUUCCGUUGGUGAACCAGCGGAGGGAUCAUUACCGAGUUUACAACUCCCAAACCCAAUGUGAACCAUACCAAACUGUUGCCUCGGCGGGGUCACGCCCCGGGUGCGUCGCAGCCCCGGAACCAGGCGCCCGCCGGAGGGACCAACCAAACUCUUUUCUGUAGUCCCCUCGCGGACGUUAUUUCUUACAGCUCUGAGCAAAAAUUCAAAAUGAAUCAAAACUUUCAACAACGGAUCUCUUGGUUCUGGCAUCGAUGAAGAACGCAGCGAAAUGCGAUAAGUAAUGUGAAUUGCAGAAUUCAGUGAAUCAUCGAAUCUUUGAACGCACAUUGCGCCCGCCAGUAUUCUGGCGGGCAUGCCUGUCCGAGCGUCAUUUCAACCCUCGAACCCCUCCGGGGGGUCGGCGUUGGGGACCUCGGGAGCCCCUAAGACGGGAUCCCGGCCCCGAAAUACAGUGGCGGUCUCGCCGCAGCCUCUCCUGCGCAGUAGUUUGCACAACUCGCACCGGGAGCGCGGCGCGUCCACGUCCGUAAAACACCCAACUUCUGAAAUGUUGACCUCGGAUCAGGUAGGAAUACCCGCUGAACUUAA
rnacentral:rRNA from 1 species